GAAAAAUAUAUCCCAAGAUAUCAUUUCUACAUUCAUAAUUUUAAAACAAAGAAUGCCUUCUGCUCAAGGACACUUUUCAAGUACAAAUAUUACAGGGGGUUAUGCAUAAUGGAUGAACAAACCACUUCCAGCAGCACAUGCGAUUAAAUUUUCGGAUGGGUGCCACGCUGAAUGUAGUAACUUGGAGUUCAGGUCAACGGAAGUUUCGUUAUUGUCCGAGUUUGAAUGUUCAUUGCCAUGCCGAAAAAAAUCACGUGUCAAAUUGCUUAAGGACGAUCUUCUCGCCCGCCGAGUGGUUUGGAGAUGUGGCUUCCUAUCAGGAAUCUUUCCCACUUCUGUAGUGAUCCCUUCUGAACUUCCAGAGCCAUAAG
rnacentral:misc_RNA from 1 species